CAGCACCUCAAGUGGUCAGGAUGAUUAUUGGGCCUAAAGCAUCCGUAGCCGGCGCUGUAAGUUUUCGGUUAAAUCUGUACGCUCAACGUACAGGCUGCCGGGAAUACUGCAGCGCUAGGGAGUGGGAGAGGUAGACGGUACUCGGUAGGAAGGGGUAAAAUCCCUUGAUCUAUUGAUGACCACCUGUGGCGAAGGCGGUCUACCAGAACACGUCCGACGGUGAGGGAUGAAAGCUGGGGGAGCAAACCGGAUUAGAGACCCGAGUAGUCC
rnacentral:rRNA from 1 species